rnacentral:lncRNA from 1 species
CUUUCACUUGGCUCUCGUUCUUUCUUGCCUGCCACAGUGUAAGAUACGCCUUUCUCCUUCUACCAUGAGUGUGAGGCCUCCACAGCCACAUGGAACUGUCCCCGCAUCAGAGGAACACAUUGUUUUCUUGGGAAGCCUUCAAGAGACAGUCAUGCAUGGUAAAGCCUGGCCGAGUGAGGUGGCUCACGCCUGUAAUCCCAGCACUUUGGGAGGCCGAAGCGGGUGGAUCAUCUGAGUCAAGAGUUCAAGACCAGCCUGGCCAACAUGGUGAAACCCCGUCUCUACUAAAAAUACAAAAUUCAGCCAGGCUUGGUGGCACACACCUGUAAUCCCAGCUACUCAGGAGGCUGAGGCAGGAGAAUCGCUUGAACCCAGGAGGUUGAGGUUGCAGUAAGCCGAGAUCAUGCCAUUGCACUCCAGCCUGGGUGGCAGAGUGACACUUUGUCUCAAAAAAAAUAAAAGUAAAGCCUUAUAUUUACUGUAGUAUUUUUUACUUAUUAGAAAGUUAAAAAUGUGUUCUUAAAAUAUGAGCCUUUUGUUUUGUUAGGAUUAUUAUUUUUGUUAAUGGUCUGAUUAUAAUGUUGCAAGAAAUUUGGGUAGUUUAUUUCUAAUUCUAUUUUUCUCAUUAGUCCUAUUAUUUUUAAUAUGCAGUUUUGAAUAUUUUAAGGAUUUGGGAUAUAUUGUAUGUCAAAACUCAUGUACACUAAUGCUCUCCACACUUAGAAAGGAAUGCCUUCCUUACUUCAGCAAUGGUUGUGGCUCAUGAGCUUGCAUUUCUGUUCCCUAUUAGCAAUCCUCACUCAGACACCUCCAGGGCCCCUGUCCUGUUCAGGAGAGAGGCCUAUUUUCCAAGCAGACCUGUGCAAGCGGCAGAGGGAACAAUUUACCCCAGCCGGGUUAGUUAACAACCUCACUAUUUAUUCAAACAUUCUAAUGGCUUUCUGAGGAUUUCCAAGUUGUUAGGAAAACAAACCACAUAAAAGAGAAGGACUAAUGUGAACAAAGGAACCCAGAGGAAAAACAGAGAUGAUGCAGCAAACAGAAGAAAAUGGAUGUUAAUUUAUUGGGAGGAUAUUGCAUCCAUAAAACAAAAGCAGCACACUAUGGAAAAAAGAAAACAAGCAGAGCAUGUAAAAGUUCUUAGAAAUUAAAAGUAUAUUGGCUGAAAUUAAAAAAAAAAAGGGCUGGAAUGGAAGGGAAGAAUAAGAAACCAAAUCAGAGAAAUUAUAUAAAGACAAUAAAGUUUAGGAAGUAUCUCAGAAUAUAGACUAAAAUGUCAAUAUGACUUUUUAAAUGAGGAAAGAUUAAAAAAAAAAAACAUGGAGGCUACAACGAGAAGGCCAAUACUCAACUAAUAGGAAUUUUAGAAAGAGAGAACUGAAGUAAUAGAAAAGAAGGAAUUGUCAAAUAACAAAAGAAAAUUUUCUUAAGCUGAUAAAAGAUAUGAAUUUGGAGGUUAAAAGGGAUCACUAUAUUAUCAAGAUUUUUUGGGUUACAUUUGAAGGAAACCCAAUUCAAAGAGCUGAAAGAAAAAAAGUGAAUACAUUAGCUAAUCUGGCUUUAGUCUUGCCUGCAUCUAGAAGUUUGAAUGUUGAAAAUUAUUUAUUCAUUCUCUCUCUCCCUUUCUGUCUCACUCUCCACCCCUCCCCUCUGCUUUCCUAUGUGUUGGGUUCAUUCCCAGGCAAGUUCUCUAUGUAUAGUGACCAAGAAGGCCUCUAUAAAUUCCAGUCUUAUUUUAUCCUUGUACCAAACCCAGAGAAAAGAGCAAAAUCCCCUCUCUUCCAGCAUCCAGAUCAGUCUGUAAAACAUACACUGAUUGGCCUGGCUUGGUUGCAUGUCCAGCCCUGAAUUGAUCUCUUGGCUGGAAAGACGGAAUGUUCUGAUGGCCACUCUGGGGCAGGGAAAGAGGGACCCUUCAUUAACAGCACCUCCAAAAUCAUGUGAAGUGGGUGAGUUAUUGGCAGUUUUCAAGGAAAAGGGAAGCAGGCCGGACCAAAAAAACAAAGCCGUAGCCAUCUGCUAUUUUCACCAAGUAUAGAGCAGAUGUAAUGAAAAAGACACACACUUCUCAAAAAAUUGGGAAAGUUUCAGAACUCUAACAAUCAGAUGGAAGUCUUAAAACUUCUUAAGGAAAAUAUUUAGGAUACCUAAAAAGAAACAACAAUCAAAGUAGCAUUUGAUUUUUCAUAUGCAAUGGGCUUGCUAGAAGGUAACAGAGCAAUGUCUACAAAUUCUGAAGGGAAAUCAUUUGGAAUCUCUUAUACAAGUGUGAAGGCAUAGUAAAGACACAUUUAGAGGUUCAAGGAUUUGGAUUUAUUUGGUGCACCACCACCCCUGUUAUGCACAUUUUCUGAAAAAUUCCUUGAAGAUAUACUCUGGCAAAAUGAAAACUGAAUUCAAGAAAGAGGGAGACAAUAGAUUCAAAAAUUAUAGAAUUAACCCAGAAGAACAAUGGAAAGGAAUACUAGUAGGACAGUUGUGCAGCUGACCUAAUAAGCAAUUAGAACAAGAAAUCAGAGGGCUCAUAAAAAAUAACCUAAAGAAGAAAAAAGCAUUAACCAUAUCCUAUGAGUAAGAAGCUGACAUGCUGGUAUAAGACACUUCUAAGAAACAAGAAAAGCAAGGUAUGAGACACUUCUCAGAAACAAGAAAAACAAAGGCAAUUGCGAACUCUGGGAAAAACAAAGAACUGUAUGUGAAACUCAUGGUACAGAUAUAAUGAGGACUAACUUGUGGCAAGAGUCUGAGCCACCAAUGAAGUGUAGGAAGUCAUGCUUUCUGAACUCACAGAAGCAACCUGCCAUUGGUCAGGUAAUGUAAGAAGAAGAUAAUCCAUGAAUGCUUUAAAUUCACACAUCAUCUGUUUGGAUCUGUAUCAGGAAAAAGUGAUAAUUAUUUCCCCAUGAUAUGUUUGUUCUUUUUGAAAGUGAUUGAGUACUUCAGUAAUUUCUCUUGACAAAUUAUCCUAACAAUGGGCUUACCUCUUUAUAUUAUUUUUAAUUAAAAUGUAUAUGUAGAUAAAUUCAUCUAUUUGUUUAGGGGUAAGUUGCAUCUUUUGAUUUUUGAAAGAGAAAUGACUAAGUUCUACCUAAACUAAAAACCUCUUAGAAGUAUAUAGUUAAAAUAAAACACCACAACUUCAACUUUCAAUUCUUUUCAAAUUAAGGAAAGAAAAAUUAUGUAAAGACCAAUAUCUCCUAUGUUGAAGAAAAAUUUGCUUGAAGUUCUCUAAUUCUUUGUCUCUAACUUUAGAGUUUUUCUUCUAUUAUUACCCAGUAAAAGUAAAUUUUAUAUAUUUUUUCUGAAUAUUAGUCAUCACCUCUGGAUAAUGAGAUUUCAGGCUACUGGCAGAUUAUGAUCUUUUUUUGUAUUUUUCUUAAUUUUCACAUUUUCU